UGGGAAACGAUGUGGGAAGGCUUAGACAGCUAGGAGGUUGGCUUAGAAGCAGCCACCCUUUAAAGAAAGCGUAAUAGCUCACUAGUCGAGUCGGCCUGCGCGGAAGAUGUAACGGGGCUCAAACCAGGUACCGAAGCUACGGGUUCAACGUAAGUUGAGCGGUAGAGGAGCGUUCUGUAAGCCUGUGAAGGUCAGUUGAGAAGCUGGCUGGAGGUAUCAGAAGUGCGAAUGCUGACAUGAGUAACGACAAUGCGAGUGAAAAACUCGCACGCCGAAAGACCAAGGGUUCCUGCGCAACGUUAAUCGACGCAGGGUGAGUCGGUCCCUAAGGCGAGGCUGAAGAGCGUAGUCGAUGGGAAACGGGUUAAUAUUCCCGUACUUCUAGUUACUGCGAUGGGGGGACGGAGAAGGCUAGGCCAGCAAGGCGUUGGUUGUCCUUGUUUAAGGUGGUAGGCAGAGAUCUUAGGUAAAUCCGGGAUCUUAAUGCCGAGAGCUGAUGACGAGCUUUCUUUUAGAAAGCGAAGUGGUUGAUGCCAUGCUUCCAGGAAAAGCCUCUAAGCUUCAGGUAACUAGGAACCGUACCCCAAACCGACACAGGUGGUUGGGUAGAGAAUACCAAGGCGCUUGAGAGAACUCGGGUGAAGGAACUAGGCAAAAUGGCACCGUAACUUCGGGAGAAGGUGCGCCGGUGAGGGUGAAGGGUUUACCCCGUAAGCUCAUGCCGGUCGAAGAUACCAGGCCGCUGCGACUGUUUAUUAAAAACACAGCACUCUGCAAACACGAAAGUGGACGUAUAGGGUGUGACGCCUGCCCGGUGCCGGAAGGUUAAUUGAUGGGGUUAGCGCAAGCGAAGCUCUUGAUCGAAGCCCCGGUAAGCGGCGGCCGUAACUAUAACGGUCCUAAGGUAGCGAAAUUCCUUGUCGGGUAAGUUCCGACCUGCACGAAUGGCGUAACGAUGGCGGCGCUGUCUCCACCCGAGACUCAGUGAAAUUGAAAUCGCUGUGAAGAUGCAGUGUAUCCGCGGCUAGACGGAAAGACCCCGUGAACCUUUACUAUAGCUUUGCACUGGACUUUGAAUUUGCUUGUGUAGGAUAGGUGGGAGGCUUUGAAGCGUGGACGCCAGUUCGCGUGGAGCCAUCCUUGAAAUACCACCCUGGCAACUUUGAGGUUCUAACUCUGGUCCGUUAUCCGGAUCGAGGACAGUGUAUGGUGGGUAGUUUGACUGGGGCGGUCUCCUCCUAAAGAGUAACGGAGGAGUACGAAGGUGCGCUCAGACCGGUCGGAAAUCGGUCGUAGAGUAUAAAGGCAAAAGCGCGCUUGACUGCGAGACAGACACGUCGAGCAGGUACGAAAGUAGGUCUUAGUGAUCCGGUGGUUCUGUAUGGAAGGGCCAUCGCUCAACGGAUAAAAGGUACUCCGGGGAUAACAGGCUGAUACCG
rnacentral:rRNA from 1 species